UUGAAAGGGAAACGAUUGAAGUCAGUCGGACCCGCGGGAAAUCAACCUUUCGAGUGGGGGUUUUGGAGUUUUUUGAAGAGUGUCAAAACCUUUGAGAUUUCAAAAUAUUCGCUCUUUUGGUGUACUUUCUCGUGGGUAGGCUAACAUCGAUUUUGAUCAUCAUAAAAAGAUUGGAGGAAUGUAGCUUCGAUCUUGUAUUGAAGUGUUAUAGCCUUUGGUAAAUGUGAUGAUUAGGAUCGAGGAUUGCAACGAAUACCCUUUUGGGCUAUCCGCCUGAUCUCUGAUACGUGGCCUUGGUAUCGAAAGCGUGCUUAUGGUAUUGAGGUAUUACGGUCAAAAGGUUAGAACGGAUUACAUUCGUUAAGGAUGUGACGUA
rnacentral:rRNA from 1 species